GCGAAGGUAGCGCAAUCACUUGUCUUUUAAAUGAAGACCUGUAUGAAUGGCACGACGAGGGCUUAACUGUCUCCUUUUUCCAGUCAAUGAAAUUGAUCUUCCCGUGCAGAAGCGGGAAUAAUACCAUAAGACGAGAAGACCCUGUGGAGCUUCAGACACUAAAUCAGCCCUUGUCCAAAAUCCCAAUUAAAGGACUGAACACUAGAGUGAGACCUGAUAUAAUGUCUUCGGUUGGGGCGACCUCGGGGAAAGAAAAAACCCCCACGCGGAGCAGAAGUACCAUACUUCCAAAACUAAGAGCUACCGCUCAAAGUAUCAGAAAUUUUGACCAACUAUGUGAUCCGGCUUAACGCCGAUCAACGGACCGAGUUACCCCA
rnacentral:rRNA from 1 species